rnacentral:rRNA from 1 species
GACGAACGCUGGCGGCGUGCUUAACACAUGCAAGUCGAGCGGUAAGGCCCUUUCGGGGGUACACGAGCGGCGAACGGGUGAGUAACACGUGGGUGACCUGCCCUUAGCUCUGGGAUAAGCCUGGGAAACUGGGUCUAAUACCGGAUAUGACUCCAUGACGCAUGUUGUGGGGUGGAAAGCCUUGUGCGGCUAGGGAUGGGCCCGCGGCCUAUCAGCUUGUUGGUGGGGUGANGGCCUACCAAGGCGACGACGGGUAGCCGGCCUGAGAGGGCGACCGGCCACACUGGGACUGAGACACGGCCCAGACUCCUACGGGAGGCAGCAGUGGGGAAUCUUGCGCAGUGGGCGAAAGCCUGACGCAGCGACGCCGCAUGAGGGAUGACGGCCUGGUU